rnacentral:misc_RNA from 1 species
AAAAAAAAAAAAUUUGUGCACUUGUUUUGUUGGCGUUUUCAUGGCUUCCUCCAGUGGAACAUCUUCAGGGUCAAGUUUGAUGCAGAACUCAGGUUCUGAAGAGGCAUUGAUGGAUCAAAGGAAGAGGAAGAGGAUGAUCUCAAAUCGAGAAUCAGCAAGGAGGUCUCGGAUGAGAAAGCAAAAGCAUUUGGAUGAUCUAAUGGCACAAGUGGCUCAGCUGAGUAAGGAGAACCACCAGCUUAUCACAAGCAUCAAUAUCACCACUCAGCAGUACCUGAACGUAGAGGCUGAUAACUCUAUACUCAAUGCUCAAAUUGGUGAGCUUAGCCACAGAUUGCAGUCUUUGAAUGAAAUCAUUUCCUUCCUGAGUGCAAAUAAUGGUCUUUAUGGAGAUUCAAGCACUUUCAAUGAGCCAGCUGAUAGCUUCUUCAACCCACUGAACAUGCCAUAUCUGAAUCAGCCUAUAAUGGCCUCUGCAGAUAUUUUUCAAUACUAGCUAAGACCCAUCUCCAGAUUAUUGCGACUGCUGUGGAUGAAUGGAAAAGAGAGAGAGAGAGAGUGAGAAGAGAGAGAAAAUCUGCCCUUGUAGCUUUUAAAGCUUAAGAAACAUUACUGGAUAGUGGUUAAAAAUUAAGUAAUAAUAAUAAUAAGGGAUAUGUAGAAGAACCAAGGAUGUGAUUAGUGGUCUGUAAAUGUGGUUUGCUAUAGUAUUAUCAUGGUUCAAGGGCAGUUGAUGAUGUUGUAGUUUUCUGCUGUUAUCAAUUAAUGU